rnacentral:rRNA from 1 species
GUGGGGAAUCUUAGACAAUGGGGGAAACCCUGAUCUAGCCAUGCCGCGUGAGCGAUGAAGGCCUUAGGGUUGUAAAGCUCUUUCAGCUGGGAAGAUAAUGACUGUACCAGCAGAAGAAGCCCCGGCUAACUCCGUGCCAGCAGCCGCGGUAAUACGGAGGGGGCUAGCGUUGUUCGGAAUUACUGGGCGUAAAGCGCACGUAGGCGGACCGGAAAGUCAGAGGUGAAAUCCCAGGGCUCAACCUUGGAACUGCCUUUGACACUCCUGGUCUUGAGGUCGAGAGAGGUGAGUGGAAUUCCGAGUGUAGAGGUGAAAUUCGUAGAUAUUCGGAGGAACACCAGUGGCGAAGGCGGCUCACUGGCUCGAUACUGACGCUGAGGUGCGAAAGCGUGGGGAGCAAACAGGAUUAGAAACCCCGGUAGUCC